AGGAUAGUAGUUAAAUUAUAACGUUUAAGUUGCAUUUAAAAAAUAUUGUCUUAUCAAUCUAUCUUA
rnacentral:tRNA from 1 species